GGGACUAUAGUUAAUAAUAACAUUUGAGUUGCAUUCAAAAAGUACUAUCCCUUAGUUAGUCUCA
rnacentral:tRNA from 1 species